UACGUAGGGGGCAAGCGUUGUCCGGAUUUAUUGGGCGUAAAGAGCGUGUAGGCGGCUUUACAGGUCCGUUGUGAAAACUCGAGGCUCAACCUCGAGACGCCGGUGGAAACCGUUUGGCUAGAGUCCGGAAGAGGAGAGUGGAAUUCCUGGUGUAGCGGUGAAAUGCGCAGAUAUCAGGAAGAACACCCGUGGCGAAGGCGGCUCUCUGGGACGGUACUGACGCUGAGACGCGAAAGCGUGGGGAGCGAACAGG
rnacentral:rRNA from 1 species